GACGAACGCUGGCGGCGUGCCUAAUACAUGCAAGUAGAACGCUGAAGGAGGAGCUUGCUCUUCUGGAUGAGUUGCGAACGGGUGAGUAACGCGUAGGUAACCUGCCUGGUAGCGGGGGAUAACUAUUGGAAACGAUAGCUAAUACCGCAUAACAGUAGAUGUUGCAUGACAUUUACUUAAAAGGUGCAAUUGCAUCACUACCAGAUGGACCUGCGUUGUAUUAGCUAGUUGGUGGGGUAACGGCUCACCAAGGCGACGAUACAUAGCCGACCUGAGAGGGUGAUCGGCCACACUGGGACUGAGACACGGCCCAGACGCCUACGGGAGGCAGCAGUAGGGAAUCUUCGGCAAGGGACGGAAGUCUGACCAAGCAACGCCGCGUGAGUGAAGAAGGUUUUCGGAUCGUAAAGCUCUGUUGUAAGAGAAGAACGAGUGUGAGAGUGGAAAGUUCACACUGUGACGGUAUCUGACCAGAAAGGGACGGCUAACUACGUG
rnacentral:rRNA from 1 species